GCCAAUAUGGUUUAGUGGUUAGAUUGUUGGGCUCAUAUCUCAGAAGAUGAGGGUUCAUAUCCCUACUCACUGAGUA